UCUUCCGAUCUGCGCUUACUGGGAAUUCCUCGUUCAUGGGGAAGAAUUUCAAGCCCCAAUCCCUAGCACGAAGGAGUUUCAGCGGAUUAUCCGGGCCUCUCGGCCGAGGGCUAUCUGC